rnacentral:misc_RNA from 1 species
CUAGCUGCUAUCGAAGCGCCAUCUAAAAAUGGAUAAGAUGGUGGUCGGAGUGUAUAUUAGUUUUUGAAAUAAAAGGAGCAAUAACCCCCUUCUUGGUCUAUCAAGAGGGCGUUAUUGUUUCCCCUUUUUUGGUUAUCUUGAAUUUAUUUUUAUUGAGUAGGAUUUUACUUCCCUACUUUCUUUCAAAAAAGGAAUUUUUGGGGGUUCAUUGGAGUAUCGUGGUUUCAUUUGAUACUUUUUCUAGUAAUAUUGAAUAUUUUUAGUUAUCUAUUUAGACCCUCUUCGCACUCUUGUUUAAAGUUGUUUUUUUACUAGAAAAAACARAAACUUUAGAAUCGCAAUUUUUUUGCUUAUAUGUAAAAACGAGUAGCAGGGCGGAUGUAGCCAAGUGGAUGAAGGCAGUGGAUUGUGAAUCCACCAUGCGCGC